GGGCAGGUACCCAAGCGGCCAAAGGGGACUGACUGUAAAUCAGUUGGCUCAGCCUUCGGAGGUUCGAAUCCUUCCCUGCCCACCA
rnacentral:tRNA from 1 species